ACCGCUUCUCGGCCUUUUGGCUAAGAUCAAGUAUAGUAUCUUUUCUUAUCAGAAUAGAUUUUAUUUGAACAGAAAGCUCAGUGGUUACAGUGACCUUAAAGAAUACUCUCU
rnacentral:snRNA from 1 species